UACGAAGGGGGCUAGCGUUGUUCGGAUUCACUGGGCGUAAAGGGUGCGUAGGUGGUUGGGUAAGUCUGAUGUGAAAUCUCUGAGCUCAACUCAGAAACUGCAUUGGAUACUAUCCGGCUAGAGAAUCGGAGGGGGGACUGGAAUACUUGGUGUAGCAGUGAAAUGCGUAGAUAUCAAGUGGAACACCAGUGGCGAAGGCGAGUCCCUGGACGAUUUCUGACACUGAGGCACGAAAGCUAGGGGAGCAAACAGG
rnacentral:rRNA from 1 species